CCUUCAUGAAGCCGGAAUUGCUAGUAAUGGCAGGUCAGCAUACUGCCGUGAAUACGUUCCCGGGCCUUGUACACACCGCCCGUCACACCAUGAGAGUUGGGAAUACCCGAAGCCUGUGAGCUAACAUUAAGAGGCAGCAGUCGAAGGUAGAAUCAAUGAUUGGGGUGAAGUCGUAACAAGGUACC
rnacentral:rRNA from 1 species